AUUGAACGCUGGCGGCAGGCCUAACACAUGCAAGUCGAGCGGAGCGGCGGACGGGUGAGUAUUGCCUAGGAAUCUGCCUGGUAGUGGGGGAUAACGUCCGGAAACUGGCGCUAAUAUCGAAUACUAUCAGAUGAGCCUAGGUCGGAUUAGCUAGUUGGUGGGGUAAAGGCCUACCAAGGCGACGAUCCGUAACUGGUCUGAGAGGAUGAUCAGUCACACUGGAACGGUGACACGGUCCGGACUCCACCGGAAGGCGGCAGUGGGGAAUGUUGGACAAUGAGGAAAGUCCGGAUCCGGCCAUGCGGCGGGUUGGAGGAAGGUUUUCGGAUGGUAAAGCACUUUAAGUGGGGAGGCGUUACCAACAGAGAAAGCACCGGCUAACUACGUGCCAGCCGCCGCGGUAAUAC
rnacentral:rRNA from 1 species